rfam:Citrus sinensis cultivar Ridge Pineapple sweet orange scaffold00074_contig_14, whole genome shotgun sequence.
UUAGCAGUGAUGAAGCACUAACUUGUAAGAAGAAACCUGUCUUAAUGGUUUCUCCAAUGAAAUUCACUAGUUACGCUUGGCUUCUGAGCUUA